rnacentral:siRNA from 1 species
UAACGACAGAAGCUAUGGCGAUGC